UGGGGAAUAUUGCACAAUGGGCGCAAGCCUGAUGCAGCCAUGCCGCGUGUGUGAAGAAGGCCUUCGGGUUGUAAAGUACUUUCAGCGGGGAGGAAGGGAGUAAAGUUAAUACCUUUGCUCAUUGACGUUACCCGCAGAAGAAGCACCGGCUAACUCCGUGCCAGCAGCCGCGGUAAUACGGAGGGUGCAAGCGUUAAUCGGAAUUACUGGGCGUAAAGCGCACGCAGGCGGUUUGUUAAGUCAGAUGUGAAAUCCUCGGGCUCAACCCGGGAAUUGCAUCUGAUACUGGUCAGCUAGAGUCUUGUAGAGGGGGGUAGAAUUCCAUGUGUAGCGGUGAAAUGCGUAGAGAUGUGGAGGAAUACCGGUGGCGAAGGCGGCCCCCUGGACAAAGACUGACGCUCAGGUGCGAAAGCGUGGGGAGCAAACAGG
rnacentral:rRNA from 1 species